rnacentral:rRNA from 1 species
UACAGAGGGUGCGAGCGUUAAUCGGAAUUACUGGGCGUAAAGCGUGCGUAGACGGUAGCGUAAGUCAGAUGUGAAAGCCCCGGGCUCAACCUGGGAACUGCAUUUGAGACUGCUCUGCUCGGGUGCGGAAGAGGGAAGCGGAAUUUCCGGUGUAGCGGUGAAAUGCGUAGAUAUCGGAAGGAACACCAGUGGCGAAAGCGGCUUCCUGGUCCGACACCGACGUUCAGGCACGAAGGCGUGGGGAGCGAACGGG